CCCAACCCUAUCCGCCCGACCCCCUCGCUGGAGACAAAGACCCAGCCGUCAAGAAGGAGACCGUCGCCAUCCUCCAUCACAUCGGAGCCCUUUCUGACCGCCAAAAAGGGUAAAAAUUUCUUCUUUUGCUAAGAAUUCAAUUCUAAACACACCCAUGGCCAAAUCAGAGCAAAAGGACUGGCCAAUUGAUUGAAAAACGCAGGUGAAGCCCAGCAGCGCCGCCACGGGGAAUUUCACAAAACGCCUCUGAUAAGGCCCUUCUCGAUUCCCAUUUUAUGUAAUUUUUUCACCAUUGUGAUCACUAUGUCUUCUCUACAGGUUGACCAGAGCAAAACACCCAACUACAACGUGAGCCAGAGGCCGCCGCACUGGAGAGCCCCGCCGCCGAUGAGUUUUGGGUUUUUGUGUUUUUUUAGCCACUGAGGCCUUUUAACGUGUUUUCUUACAAGGAUCGAUGUGAAAUCGGCCGAAUGGGGCUAAAAAUGGUGAAAAAUAGUCGACUCUAGGCAGAUCGUUAUCGAGGGCGACGACACCGUCGCCAAAGCACGGCAGAGCCGCUGUGCCAGAAUUCCAAAAUUUGCUAAGUGGGCCUUGGAACUGAUUUUAAAUUUCUUUGGGACAUUUAUAGGUACCAUUAGUGCGUUUUAAUUUUUGAAAAAAAGUUCAGGGAACUCGAGAAUCGCCCGUAGGCGCAGUUGAACAGCUUAGCUUUU
rnacentral:lncRNA from 1 species